rnacentral:rRNA from 1 species
ACUCAAAUGAAUAGACGGGGACCCGCACAAGCAGUGGAGUAUGUGGUUUAAUUCGAAGCAACGCGAAGAACCUUACCAGGUCUUGACAUCCCUCUGAAUAUCCUAGAGAUAGGGUAGGCCUUCGGGACAGAGGAGACAGGUGGUGCAUGGUUGUCGUCAGCUCGUGUCGUGAGAUGUUGGGUUAAGUCCCGCAACGAGCGCAACCCUUGAACUUAGUUGCCAGCAUUGAGUUGGGCACUCUAAGUUGACUGCCGGUGACAAACCGGAGGAAGGUGGGGAUGACGUCAAAUCAUCAUGCCCCUUAUGACCUGGGCUACACACGUACUACAAUGGCCGGCACAAAGGGAAGCGAAGCCGCGAGGUGGAGCCAAUCCCAUAAAAGCGGUCUCAGUUCGGAUUGCAGGCUGCAACUCGCCUGCAUGAAGUCGGAAUUGCUAGUAAUCGCGGAUCAGCAUGCCGCGGUGAAUACGUUCCCGGGUCUUGUACACACCGCCCGU